CCUACGGGUGGCAGCAGUGAGGAAUAUUGGACAAUGGGCGCGAGCCUGAACCAGCCAAGUAGCGUGAAGGAGGACUGCCCUACGGGGUGUAAACUUCGUUUAUAAAGGAAUAAAGUGAGGCACGUGUGCCGUUUUGUAUGUACUUUAUGAAUAAGGAUCGGCUAACUCCGUGCCAGCAGCCGCGGUAAUACGGAGGAUCCGAGCGUUAUCCGGAUUUAUGGGGUUUAAAGGGAGCGUAGAUGGGUUGUUAAGUCAGUGGUGCAAGUUUGCGGCUCAACCGUAAAAUUGCCCUUGAUACUGGCAGUCUUGCGUACAGUUGCGGUAGGCGGAAUUCGUUGUGUAGCGG
rnacentral:rRNA from 1 species